rnacentral:rRNA from 1 species
CAGUAGCCGCGGGAAUACCGAGGGUGCGAGCGUUAAUCGGAUUUACUGGGCGUAAAGCGUGCGUAGGCGGCUUCUUAAGUCGGAUGUGAAAUCACUGAGCUUAACUUAGGAAUUGCAUUCGAUACUGGGAAGCUAGAGUAUGGGAGAGGAUGGUAGAAUUCCAGGUGUAGCGGUGAAAUGCGUAGAGAUCUGGAGGAAUACCGAUGGCGAAGGCAGCCAUCUGGCCUAAUACUGACGCUGAGGUACGAAAGCAUGGGGAGCAAACAGGAUUAGAUACCCCUGUAGUCCCUGUCUCUUAUAC